UUUGUUGAGAGUUUGAUCCUGGCUCAGGAUGAACGCUGGCGGCGUGCUUAACACAUGCAAGUCGAGCGAAGCACUUAAGAAUGAUUCUUCGGAUGAAAUCUUUUGUGACUGAGCGGCGGACGGGUGAGUAACGCGUGGGUAACCUGCCUCAUACAGGGGGAUAACAGUUAGAAAUGACUGCUAAUACCGCAUAAGCGCACAGUGCCGCAUGGCACCGUGUGA
rnacentral:rRNA from 1 species